UACGUAAGGUGCAAGCGUUGUUCGGAUUCAUUGGGCGUAAAGGGUGCGUAGGCGGCGCGGUAAGUCGGGUGUGAAAUCUCGGAGCUUAACUCCGAAACUGCAUUCGAUACUGCCGUGCUUGAGGACUGGAGAGGAGACUGGAAUUUACGGUGUAGCGGUGAAAUGCGUAGAUAUCGUAAGGAAGACCAGUGGCGAAGGCGGGUCUCUGGACAGUUCCUGACGCUGAGGCACGAAGGCCAGGGGAGCAAACGGG
rnacentral:rRNA from 1 species